ensembl:lncRNA
CGAACAUAUUAGCGAAUAUGGUAUAUCCAAAAAAGUGCUAUAACUCAUUUGUAAAACUUAUCGAAGAUAUAAAAUCUGAAAAAGAGCUGACCACGGAUGACAAAAAAAAAACAGCCACAUCCGAAAAAGGCAUUUGCGGAAAAACCAACCAAGUUUUAAACAAACAUAGUGUUAAUAAGAAAAAAGAAAACAGAAGUACUUUUGUAACAAAAUGUCAAUACACAAAUCAAAUACUAUUAAUAUAUAACACUCAGUUUAUAAAAAUAAGUCUACAAAAUAAUGUAUUUAUUCUUUUAACUUCUUUAGGAAAACAAUUAUUUUUGAAUAAUCAGUUACUAGCUAAUGAACAAAAAACAAAAAAAAAAAAAAAAAUUUUCCCAUUUUUAAAUAAACAUUUUAUUAUAUAUAAUAAAAACAAUUAUGGUAAAAACAAUUAUGGUAAAAAUAAUUAUAAUAAAAAUUCAAAUAUAAAUAAACGUAUAUAUGCUGUGGUAAUACAAGUAAAAUUAGUGGAAAAUAUUCAGACAUCAGAUAUAAAUGACAAAUAUGUGUCUGAUAUAUUUUAUUUAUGUCAAUAUUAUAAACACAAACAUAAUUGUAACUUAAAAUAUUUAAUUACAUAUGAUUUUAUAAAUAAUGCUUUAAAAGAAUAUGAAAUUGUAAUUAUAAAUUUUAGUGAAUGUAUAUGGAAUUUUGAAUUUACAAAAGAAGAAAUUAAAAGUAAAUUAAAGUGUUUGCAACAGUCUUCUCCUUCUCCUCCUCUUUCUCCCUCUUCUCUCCCUUCUUGUUGUUUAUGUUUUGUUUUAUUUUAUAAUUUAUUAACAUUUGAAUAUAAGUCAUAUGUAGAUAAACUAAUUAAAAAAUUAAAAAAAAGGAAAAUAAUUAGUAGUACUUUUUUUUUUGUUGAAAAUAGAUAUACUAUACAGGAAGGUGUGACAUUUACUGGUAUUAGUAAUUUGAAUGAAUAUAACAAGAACAUAGAUGGGAGUAAUAAUAUUAUUCGUAAAUAUAGUAAUGAUAAAAAUGGAAUGAUCGAAGAAAAGUAUCUUAUACAAACAGAAAACGUGAUAAAAGUUAAUAACAACACAGAAGAUAUGUUGUCAUUUUAUGAAAAUAAAAAUAUAAGUAAAACAUUUUUACAAACAAUUUAUUCUAUUUUUAAUUUAUUAAAAGAAGAAAAUAAUUAUUUUUUAGAUUGUUAUAAUUUAGAAAAUUAUACACGUAUUUUUAUUUAUGAUUGUGAAAAAUUAAAAAGAAGUAUGUUUAUACAUUUUUUAAAAAAAAUAAAUAAUUUUUAUUUUAAAAUAAUAAAUUUAAAUACAAUGUUUGGUACUUAUUUUAGCGAAACUGAACAAAAUUUUAUACGUAUUUUUAAAAAGUGUCAUAAAAUUAUAAAUAAUAGUAAUAAAAAUGUUUGUCUUGUAAUUGAUGGUAUAGAUAUAAUAAAAAAUAAUAUACCUAUGGACAAAACUUAUACAGAUAAGUUUAAUGAAUAUAAUACAGGUAGUACUAAUUCUUACAGUAAUGAUAACAGUAGGUUGCUAACGACUUUAUUACUAUGCCUAGACAGUAUAGAUAACAGUACGAUAAGAAAAAAAAA